UCGCCGAAAGGCGAGUCCUCUGAGUAGGA
rnacentral:sRNA from 1 species